UACGUAGGGACCGAGCGUUGUCCGGAAUCAUUGGGCGUAAAGGGUGCGUAGGUGGCGCCAUAAGUCAGGUGUGAAAUCUCGGGGCUUAACUCCGAAACUGCAUUUGAUACUGUGGUGCUUGAGGACUGGAGAGGAGACUGGAAUUCACGGUGUAGCAGUGAAAUGCGUAGAUAUCGUGAGGAAGACCAGUGGCGAAGGCGGGUCUCUGGACAGUUCCUGACACUGAGGCACGAAGGCCAGGGGAGCAAACGGG
rnacentral:rRNA from 1 species